AAGAAAUACGCACACGAAACGAGGCUAUUUCUUAUAGCGAAAAUAUCUAUUUUAGCCGACGUGACGAAUCGAAUGCGAUAAGUUCCUGUAAAUCGCGAGAACAAAUGCUUAUACGGCUCACGGGUAGACUACUGUUGUAGGUAGGCCGUAAUUUAAAUGAUAGGUAAUUCGGUUUACUUUCUGUAUGCAACCGUGAUAAAACGAACGAAAAAACUAUUGGUUCGAAAAGCAUUGGUCGUAUAAU